GGAGCAGCCCAGAGCCUGAAUCAGUGUGUGUGUUAGUGGAAGCGUCUGGAAAGGCGUGCGAUACAGGGUGACAGCCCCGUACACAAAAAUGCACAUACUGUGAGCUCGAUGAGUAGGGCGGGACACGUGGUAUCCUGUCUGAAUAUGGGGGGACCAUCCUCCAAGGCUAAAUACUCCUGACUGACCGAUAGUGAACCAGUACCGUGAGGGAAAGGCGAAAAGAACCCCGGCGAGGGGAGUGAAAAAGAACCUGAAACCGUGUACGUACAAGCAGUGGGAGCACGCUUAGGCGUGUGACUGCGUACCUUUUGUAUAAUGGGUCAGCGACUUAUAUUCUGUAGCAAGGUUAACCGAAUAGGGGAGCCGAAGGGAAACCGAGUCUUAACUGGGCGUUAAGUUGCAGGGUAUAGACCCGAAACCCGGUGAUCUAGCCAUGGGCAGGUUGAAGGUUGGGUAACACUAACUGGAGGACCGAACCGACUAAUGUUGAAAAAUUAGCGGAUGACUUGUGGCUGGGGGUGAAAGGCCAAUCAAACCGGGAGAUAGCUGGUUCUCCCCGAAAGCUAUUUAGGUAGCGCCUCGUGAAUUCAUCUCCGGGGGUAGAGCACUGUUUCGGCAAGGGGGUCAUCCCGACUUACCAACCCGAUGCAAACUGCGAAUACCGGAGAAUGUUAUCACGGGAGACACACGGCGGGUGCUAACGUCCGUCGUGAAGAGGGAAACAACCCAGACCGCCAGCUAAGGUCCCAAAGUCAUGGUUAAGUGGGAAACGAUGUGGGAAGGCCCAGACAGCCAGGAUGUUGGCUUAGAAGCAGCCAUCAUUUAAAGAAAGCGUAAUAGCUCACUGGUCGAGUCGGCCUGCGCGGAAGAUGUAACGGGGCUAAACCAUGCACCGAAGCUGCGGCAGCGACGCUUAUGCGUUGUUGGGUAGGGGAGCGUUCUGUAAGCCUGUGAAGGUGUGCUGUGAGGUAUGCUGGAGGUAUCAGAAGUGCGAAUGCUGACAUAAGUAACGAUAAAGCGGGUGAAAAGCCCGCUCGCCGGAAGACCAAGGGUUCCUGUCCAACGUUAAUCGGGGCAGGGUGAGUCGACCCCUAAGGCGAGGCCGAAAGGCGUAGUCGAUGGGAAACAGGUUAAUAUUCCUGUACUUGGUGUUACUGCGAAGGGGGGACGGAGAAGGCUAUGUUGGCCGGGCGACGGUUGUCCCGGUUUAAGCGUGUAGGCUGGUUUUCCAGGCAAAUCCGGAAAAUCAAGGCCGAGGCGUGAUGACGAGGCACUACGGUGCUGAAGCAACAAAUGCCCUGCUUCCAGGAAAAGCCUCUAAGCAUCAGGUAACAUCAAAUCGUACCCCAAACCGACACAGGUGGUCAGGUAGAGAAUACCAAGGCGCUUGAGAGAACUCGGGUGAAGGAACUAGGCAAAAUGGUGCCGUAACUUCGGGAGAAGGCACGCUGAUACGUAGGUGAAGCGACUUGCUCGUGGAGCUGAAAUCAGUCGAAGAUACCAGCUGGCUGCAACUGUUUAUUAAAAACAC
rnacentral:rRNA from 1 species